rnacentral:rRNA from 1 species
GACGAACGCUGGCGGCGUGCUUAACACAUGCAAGUCGAGCGAAUGGAUUAAGAGCUUGCUCUUAUGAAGUUAGCGGCGGACGGGUGAGUAACACGUGGGUAACCUGCCCAUAAGACUGGGAUAACUCCGGGAAACCGGGGCUAAUACCGGAUAACAUUUUGAACCGCAUGGUUCGAAAUUGAAAGGCGGCUUAGGCUGUCACUUAUGGAUGGACCCGCGUCGCAUUAGCUAGUUGGCGAGGUAACGGCUCACCAAGGCAACGAUGCGUAGCCGACCUGAGAGGGUGGUCGGCCACACUGGGACUGAGACACGGCCCAGGCUCCUACGGGAGGCAGCAGUAGGGAAUCUUCCGCAAUGGACGAGAGUCUGACGGAGCAACGCCGCGUGAGUGAUGAAGGCUUUCGGGUCGUAAAACUCUGUUGUUAGGGAAGAACAAGUGCUAGUUGAAUAAGCUGGCACCUUGACGGUACCUAACCAGAAAGCCACGGCUAACUACGUGCCAGCCGCCGCGGUAA